rnacentral:rRNA from 1 species
CACGUAGGGUGCAAGCGUUAAUCGGAAUUACUGGGCGUAAAGCGUGCGCAGGCGGUUUUGCAAGACAGAUGUGAAAUCCCCGGGCUUAACCUGGGAACUGCAUUUGUGACUGCAAGGCUAGAGUGUGUCAGAGGGAGGUGGAAUUCCGCGUGUAGCAGUGAAAUGCGUAGAGAUGCGGAGGAACACCGAUGGCGAAGGCAGCCUCCUGGGAUAACACUGACGCUCAUGCACGAAAGCGUGGGGAGCAAACAGG